AUAACAAUGCUGUUCUUUUACUUUACAGUCAUGGCACUUCUUACAGAUACUGUUCUUGCAAAUGCAAUAACAUCCCGCUCUACUAAACAGCAUGUUUUAGAAGGAGGAAACAUUACUAUUUCUUGCAACUACAGUGGAAGCAAUAUUAACAGUCUUCAGUGGUACAGACAGUCUUCCAACACUGCACCUGAAUUUAUCUUGCAAGCUUUUGAAAGUGCGGGAGCACAGCAGAAGGAUCGUUAUGUUGCUAAAGUUCAAAUGAAUGAAAAACAACUACAUCUGGAGAUCUCCAAAACUGAGAUGGCAGACGCUGCAAUAUACUACUGUGCCCUGGUGCCCACAGUAACAGGAAACCCUUCAACACUGUACAAAAACCUGAGAUAUGACUCUCACAUUUGACUACAGUGCACUCUGAUCCUGGUGCUAGAUGUGAAUUAUUAUUAUUUUUUAUUUUUUUUAUUUUUUUAUGUUGCACAGAAUGAUGGGUAUUAAUAGUUAUUAAUUCAUUAAUUCAUAUUCAUGGUCAUUAACACUGAUAAAAAUGUGAUUUAAAAAAAAUCAAAGCAAAAAGAGUAAGAUUAGCCUCAGUCGUGGUAAUGAGGGUGGAGAGAGCACUGUACAUUCACUCCCCCCACCUACAAUCCCUGCCGGCUCCAGACUUGAACUCGCAAUCCAAAGGUUGCUAGUUCCGACUCUCUAACCAUUAGGCCACGACUUCCCCCUUGUAGUGCCAGCUAGUCGACCUCUUCCGCAUAUGUCCACUAGCAUCCAUAAUACCAAACGUGUGGAUCUUAUGCCUUUUCUUUAAUAUACACUGCCGGAGACUUUGAACCACAGAUCACAUUAACUGGUUUAAAGACUAAGGUAUAAGAACUAAACAACUUUCCCAUAUGGCAGAGCUUAAUAUAAAAAUGUAGAAGCAUUUUAAUCUGAGGGAGGAUGUCAGAAUUCAAAGACAUCCAGUCUGAAUGAUACUCAAGUCUCUCAGAUUCUUCUUCAAAUUUCUGCUGUCAUGAUUAUUUUUACUCUCCUCACUUUUUUUUGGAUGUGUAUGGGUAAGAUAAAGUUGUAUUUUUUCUCUUUCCAAUUAAGACCUGCUACUUUUGACUUAUUUACUACUACUUUUUACCAGUGGUUACUGUUUGAUUUAUUAAUUAGGAUUUUACUCUCCAUUACCAGGUCACACAGAGGCAGACACAAUAAAACCCUUGUCACUGAAUGAAAAUAAACGUGU
ensembl:lncRNA